GCAGCUUCCUUCUGGGAACUCAGUGUAAAUCCCAGACAUCCAGUCACCCGUGUGGGUCACCGGACACCACGCACUGUGAGUUCACUGUCUCUAUGUCUCUCUUCCCUACUGGAUCCCAACUGGACAAUGAUUUGAUUUUCUGCUUUUUCCAACUGUGCAGCAAUAAGUACAUAUUUGUGCUAAAGAAACAUUAAGCUGGGCACGAGCAGAGCAGCCAGCUUACUGUGACAUCACACAGAUAGCAGUGAGCUAACCGGGAGGCUAGGGGAAGUGGCGCAUUUUUGAGACUAAAAUCCCAAAUCUAAAGCUGGAAGGGAUGAAGUGGGGCCAGGAAGAGGUUCCCCUGCAUCCCAUGGGAAUCUUUCCCAGCAGGCUGUCCCAGCAAGGUCCAAGGAGCAGCGUGGACACAAUGCCCAGUGUGCAGGGCUCCCACCUCUUGGUGCCCACAGGAGGCCCCCAGCCCAGCUGGCGGACAGGACUCCUUCCCCUCCUCCAGUCUAGGGCACACAGCCCUGCCCGGAGUUCCAUGCCAUCUUCCCUUUGCCUGUGUUUUGUGCGAAGGAGCAUUCAAAUGUUGGACAAAACGGCUUUAAUUCAACUUGAUCAUCUUCUGAAAAAGAAAAAAAAAUUAAAGGAAGAAAAAUAAAGGAGGAAGAACAAAAGUUGGGAGAGGCCAGACUAAAUGGAUAUGAUCUGAAUGCAUAUUUGUGUUACAACUAAUACAACCAGCAGCAGAGAGGGACCAAGAUCAAAUAAAUGGUAAAACCUGACAAAGAGAAGAAUAGAUGGUAUGUGGAGCCAUCUGUUUUGGAGGACACCCAAAUCUGUCUGAAUCUGUGAGGCCAAACUACCAGCUAUUCUAAGACGCCCCAUUCCAAGAGUGGCCUAAUGCGUAGCUACACAAUCAGUUUCUCUCACUAUCACUUUGGCUGCAACUUUUUUGUGCAAUUAAGUAAUUUAUUCCUUUCUUCAGCCUCCUGAUUCUAAUGAAUCCGAGCCACAAACAAGCCUCAGUUGCUCCUAUUCAAGGAGUCUGAUUACAUCUGGCAGUGAUUGCUGGAAAUCCUGAAGAGGAAACAGGGAAGGGAAGCAUAUUGUUUGGGGGGGUAAUAGGUGAAGACCUGCCUCUCUUGACCUAUAAUACAUUAGUGUCAGUGAACAUUUGGCAGCCUUCAGAUGAUUAGCAAUGAAGAUGAAUCAAGCAAAAAAGAGGUAGAAAUCUGCCUCAUCUGAAUCGCCAGAACUGCAUACAUUUGCAUGCUGAUUAGCUGUUCUUUUGUCUGUGUUCCUAAUUAUUAUGACACAUUAUGUCUUCAUCAUGCAAGAUUCUGAUCUGUCUUGUUCAAAAUGCAUGUAGAAAAAAGUGCUGUUUAUUGAUUCAACAUGUAACUUUUAUUUUUAUGUUUGCUUUAAUUAAAUACAUAUUUGAUUGCC
ensembl:lncRNA